rnacentral:rRNA from 1 species
AUUGAACGCUGGCGGCAGGCCUAACACAUGCAAGUCGAACGAGUGGCGGACGGGUGAGUAAUGUCUGGGAAACUGCCUGAUGGAGGGGGAUAACUACUGGAAACGGUAGCUAAUACCGCAUACCAUCAGAUGUGCCCAGAUGGGAUUAGCUUGUUUGUGGGGUAACGGCUCACCAAGGCGACGAUCCCUAGCUGGUCUGAGAGGAUGACCAGGAAAACUGGAACUGAGACAAGGUCCAGACGCCGACGGGAGGAAGCAGUGGGGAAUAUGGCACAAUGGGCGCAAGCAUGAUGCAGCCAUGCCGCGUGUAUGAAGAAGGCCGUCGGGGGGGAAAGUACUUUCAGCGAGGAGGCGUUACCCGCAGAAGAAGCACCGGCUAACUCCGUGCCAGCAGCCGCGGUAAUUC